rnacentral:rRNA from 1 species
AGUGAACGCUGGCGGUAGGCCUAACACAUGCAAGUCGAACGGCAGCACAGGAGAGCUUGCUCUCUGGGUGGCGAGUGGCGGACGGGUGAGGAAUACAUCGGAAUCUACUCUGUCGUGGGGGAUAACGUAGGGAAACUUACGCUAAUACCGCAUACGACCUACGGGUGAAAGCAGGGGACCUUCGGGCCUUGCGCGAUUGAAUGAGCCGAGGUCGGAUUAGCUAGUUGGCGGGGUAAAGGCCCACCAAGGCGACGAUCCGUAGCUGGUCUGAGAGGAGGCUCAGCCACAGUAGAACUGAGACACGGUCCAGACUCCUACGGGAGGCAGCAGUGGGGAAUAUUGCACAAUGGGCGCAAGCCUGAUCCAGCCAUACCGCGUGGGUGAAUAGGGCCUUCGGGUUGUAAAGCCCUUUUGUUGGGAAAGAAAUCCAGCUGGCUAAUACGCGGUUGGGAUGACGGUACCCAAAGAAUAAGCACCGGCUAACUUCGUGCCAGCCGCCGCGGUAA